rnacentral:rRNA from 1 species
AUGGCGCGUGCCAGCAGCGACGCCCGGGCGGCUCUGUGCCUGGUGGCUCUUCUGGCCAUGUCGUCUCUCAUGUCCUUUCAGGCGGCCGGAAGAAACAUAGGUAAACUUCUCCUUCGCCCGCUAAAAACUUCAGUCGAUCUGUGUUUGCGCCAUACGAUGAGCUUGAAAGCUAACGGAGUGUGGCCGUCGUCGUGCACAGGUACAACCGGCGCCGAUCCGACCACGAACUGCAUACAUGCUUUAGGCUGCGCGCCGCCGCCGCCGGGCAAGCCUGACAUCGACAUCUUCUGCAGGGCUUACUGCUACCAGCGAGGCUACGACCUGUUGAAAAGCUAUUGCAAGCCGGACGGCGGCGGCACGUGCUGCUGCGUGAAGCCGUGA